rnacentral:ncRNA from 1 species
GCAGAAACGUUGAAGAGGAAUAUUAAGAGAUCAUUGUUUUUCAGAGAGCUGUCGGCUGGUGUGAGACAGCAAGCGUAAUCUCCCAACUCGCCUCGGAGUUCUAUUAUUGAACAGGAGUAGAUAAUAGCGGGUCUUCCCGUUACAGAAGUGAAUGAGUGCAUCCGGUAUAUCCGGGUGAAGAAGAGUGGUACCACGGAAAUCAAGCCUUUUCGUCUCUUAG